GGAUCAUUAAAGAGUUCUAUAACUCCCAAACCCAUGUGAACAUACUUAACGUUGCCUCGGCAGGUCACGCCUACCUCGUAGUGCCCUACCCUGUAGGGCCUACCCGGGAGACGUGGUUCAGCCUGCCGGCGGCCUACCAAACUCUGUUUGAUAUUGAAUUCUGAACCUAUAACUAAAUAAGUUAAAACUUUCAACAACGGAUCUCUUGGUUCUGGCAUCGAUGAAGAACGCAGCGAAAUGCGAUAAGUAAUGUGAAUUGCAGAAUUCAGUGAAUCAUCGAAUCUUUGAACGCAUAUUGCGCCCAUUAGUAUUCUAGUGGGCAGGACCGUUCGAGCGUCAUUUCGACCCUUAAGCCUUGGUUGCUUAGUGUUGGGAGCCUACGGCAACGUAGCUCCUUAAAGUUAGUGGCGGAGUGGUUCACACUCUAGACGUAGUAGAUUUUAAUCUCGCCUAUCAGUUGGACCGGUCCCCUGCCGUAAAACCCCCCAACUUCUUAAAGUUGACCUCGAAUCGGUUCAGACAAACUCGCUAAAUUGAAGCAUCUUAGUCAGCGAAGGAAAAGAAACCAACAGGGAUUGCCCUAGUAACGGCGAGUGAAGCGGCAACAGCUCAAAUUUGAAAUCUGGCCCUCGGGUCCGAGUUGUAAUUUGUAGAGGAUGCUUUUGGCGCGGUGCCUUCCGAGUUCCCUGGAACGGGACGCCUUAGAGGGUGAGAGCCCCGUACGGUUGGACACCAAGCCUCUGUAAAGCUCCUUCGACGAGUCGAGUAGCUUGGGAAUGCUGCUCUAAAUGGGAGGUAAAUUUCUUCUAAAGCUAAAUAUUGGCCAGAGACCGAUAGCGCACAAGUAGAGUGAUCGAAAGAUGAAAAGCACUUUGAAAAGAGGGUUAAACAGCACGUGAAAUUGUUGAAAGGGAAGCGUUUGCGACCAGACCUUUUCCUAGCGGAUCAUCCGGUGUUCUCACCGGUGCACUUCGCUAGGUUUAGGCCAGCAUCGGUUUCUGUAGGGGGAUAAAAGCUCUGGGAACGUAGCUCCUCCGGGAGUGUUAUAGCCCUCUGCAUAAUACCCUUACGGGGACCGAGGACCGC
rnacentral:rRNA from 1 species